GAGCAGUUCAUCAAGCUCUGGUCAAUUAAAAAGUAGCCCUGAGCCCAGUCCACUCUGGGGCCAUUCUGCUCACUGGCCGUGUGUGCCCAGGCUGACUGUGUGUGCCCAGGUCUUUCUGCGCAGACAGUCCUUCAGAGGGACAGACAGCGCUUCCUCCUUCCCCCCACUCCACACACCUCAGAGGCCAGAGCCAAGCGAGUUGCAGGCACAAGUGCACAGACGUCCCGAGGCAGGCAGAUGGUGGACGGCUCUCUGGCUCCUACAGAAUCCAAAUCAAGCUAAUUCCAUUCAAAUUCCUUCCCAGCCCAUGUUGUGCCUUCCCAAGGUUGCCGAAAUUGAAUUCAAACUCCAAAAACACAUGCUGGCCAGGCUCAAAGAGCCACUGCCGAUUGCAAACACAUGGCCCAGCAGUGCAGGGGACGCUUUAGGGUGCCUGGUGUUGUUGAUUAUGUGGGAUAAUCACAAGAAGCAUCCCUCAAAGCCCUCGCCCUCGCACACAGCACAUGGUAAAAAAAUAACAUAAAAAUCUGUUUUUCAAACAAAGCACUAAAACAAAACAAAAAUCCUGAUGAAAGUGCUUAAUGGUCCUGAAGAUGGAAAUUCAAUCUUUGACUUGAUUUUUUACAGGUGUGUGCAUGGAAAAUGUCACAUGAAGCAAGAUGCUCUAGUUGGGAUUUCUUGCAGCUGUGGGUGCAAGUUUGAAAUAAGAAAGAUCAAAAUCAAUGACCAUAAAGUCUUCAGCAUAAAGAUAUCUUU
rnacentral:lncRNA from 1 species